rnacentral:lncRNA from 1 species
UAAUCCACACAAUACUUCAACAAGCAUUUAUUAAACGCCUACUAUGUGCUCAGCACUAUACUAGGCACUCGGGGGUGCAGAGAUACAAAUGUAAAAGUUAUUAUUCCUGCCCUCAAGGAGCUUACAAUUUAAUUUUGGAAAUAAAUACAAAUAUGAAACUGUAACACAGAGUGCUAGAAAAUAAUUACAAAGCAACAUAUUAGUAAGUACAUGGACCACAGUACAAACUCAAAAGAUAAGUGCUGAGGCAGCACAGAAUGAGGGAGGUCAUCGCAUGAGGUGAUGUCAAUCAGGGAGAGCUCAGUCAGAAGAUAUAAAGGAAGAAAGGCUUUGAAGGGAGUGAUGAACAUGAGCUGGGACCAAAGAGCAAUCUAAGCAAAAAGAAUAGCAUGAGAAAGGCACAGAGGCAAGAGCUUGUAAGACAUCAGUAGAAGGCUGUAGGAAGUUUGAAUCUGUUGAAUCAAGGUGAAUAUGCUAGAGAGUAAUGAAGGCUGAUGAAUAUUAGGCAUAGAGGUAAUGGAGAAUUUGGAACACCACUGCUCCAUAGGAAUUAUCUACUGGGUGUUACUUAGUGAAAAUGAAAUUUUACAAUAGAGAUAUUGUAAAAAUGGGUGUUUGAGGAGGAUCGUCUUUGAAAAAUUAUCUACUGGGUGUUACUGAAAAUGAAAAUUUUACAAUACGGAUAUUGUAAAAAUGGAGUUUGAGGAGGAGCACCUUAGAAACUUUAUACAAGAUGGGGAUCCUGGGAGCAAGGAAAUUGGAAAAAAAAGAAUUACAGUAACCUGGGCCUCAGAUCUACAUGAAAAGCUAUAAUGGGAUGAGAGAAAUGGGAGAUCAAGCCUCAAGGAGAAAACUGAUUAAAAACUGGACUGACAGCAAGUUUUUGGACAUGGAUUACAGAUGGAGUGC